GAUGAACGCUGGCGGCGUGCCUAAUACAUGCAAGUCGAGCGAACAGACGAGGAGCUUGCUCCUCUGACGUUAGCGGCGGACGGGUGAGUAACACGUGGAUAACCUACCUAUAAGACUGGGAUAACUUCGGGAAACCGGAGCUAAUACCGGAUAAUAUAUUGAACCGCAUGGUUCAAUAGUGAAAGACGGUUUUGCUGUCACUUAUAGAUUGAUCCGCGCCGCAUUAGCUAGUUGGUAAGGUAACGGCUUACCAAGGCGACGAUGCGUAGCCGACCUGAGAGGGUGAUCGGCCACACUGGAACUGAGGCACGGUCCAGACUCCUACGGGAGGCAGCAGUAGGGAAUCUUCCGCAAUGGGCGAAAGCCUGACGGAGCAACGCCGCGUGAGUGAUGAAGGUCUUCGGAUCGUAAAACUCUGUUAUUAGGGAAGAACAAAUGUGUAAGUAACUAUGCACGUCUUGACGGUACCUAAUCAGAAAGCCACGGCUAACUACGUG
rnacentral:rRNA from 1 species